rnacentral:rRNA from 1 species
UACGUAGGGGGCGAGCGUUGUCCGGGAUAAUUGGGCGUAAAGGGCGUGUAGGCGGGCGCAUAGGUCGGGCGUGAAAGGCGCGGGCUCAACCCGUGUAAGCGUUCGAAACGGUGCGUCUUGAGUGCAGUAGAGGGAAGCGGAAGUUUCUGGUGUAGCGGUGGAAUGCGUAGAGAUCAGAAGGAACACCCGGUGGCGAAGGCGGGCUUCCUGGGACUGUUACUGAC